GCCUGGGUGGCUCAGUCGUUCAAAGUGUCUGACUUCAGUUCAGGUCAUGAUCUCAUAGUCUGUGAGUUCAAGCCCCACGUCAGGCU
rnacentral:tRNA from 1 species